CCUACGGGGUGCUGCAGUAGGGAAUCUUCCACAAUGGGCGAAAGCCUGAUGGAGCAACGCCGCGUGGGUGAAGAAGGUCUUCGGAUCGUAAAACCCUGUUGUUAGAGAAGAAAGUGCGUGAGAGUAACUGUUCACGUUUCGACGGUAUCUAACCAGAAAGCCACGGCUAACUACGUGCCAGCAGCCGCGGUAAUACGUAGGUGGCAAGCGUUAUCCGGAUUUAUUGGGCGUAAAGGGAACGCAGGCGGUCUUUUAAGUCUGAUGUGAAAGCCUUCGGCUUAACCGGAGUAGUGCAUUGGAAACUGGGAGACUGGAGUGCAGAAGAGGAGAGUGGAACUCCAGGUGUAGCGGUGAAAUGCGUAGAUAUAUGGAAGAACACCAGUGGCGAAGGCGGCUCUCUGGUCUGUAACUGACGCUGAGGUUCGAAAGCGUGGGUAGCAAACAGGAUUAGAUACCCGGGUAGUC
rnacentral:rRNA from 1 species